AAAAGGUCAUUUGCCCGAAAUUCAAUGUAUGUAUCAGUGAGAGGGGCUAAAGUUUGUAUGGAAGUCUAUGGGAAAACAUUUGGUGGUGUUUGUCCUAUAGAAAAGCGAUGCAUUCUCAAGAAGGAAGAGAUUAAUGAACCCUACCCUCUUACAAUGAACAACACAUGGAUACUCUCGGGAUGAUCCCUUUGCUUUCAUUAAGAGUUCCAAGAUGUGGGUCUGAUUGACUGGGGUGUGAAAUGUAACAGCCAAUGGUGUACUUAAGCGAUGCAUUCUCAAGAAGGAAGAGAUUAAUGAACCCUACCCUCUUACAAUGAACAACACAUGGAUACUCUCGGGAUGAUCCCUUUGCUUUCAUUAAGAGUUCCAAGAUGUGGGUCUGAUUGACUGGGGUGUGAAAUGUAACAGCCAAUGGUGUACUUAAGGUAAGACUGUCAGUCCCAAUAUUCAAGAGGUCAGAUAAGCAAUGGAUAUGUGUUCUAAAUUUACUAAAUUGACCACUUUUUACAAAUGUUUCUUUUACUCUAUACAUAAACAAAU